rnacentral:rRNA from 1 species
UAGCCGUAAACGAUACUCGCUAGGUGUCGGCCACGGUGCGACCGUUGUCGGUGCCGUAGGGAAGCCGUGAAGCGAGCCACCUGGGAAGUAACGGCCGCAAGGCUGAAACUUAAAGGAAUUGGCGGGGGAGCACCACAACGGGUGGAGCUUGCGGUUUAAUUGGAUUCAACGCCGGAAAUCUUACCGGGACCGACAGCAACAUGAAGGCCAGGCUGAAGACUUUGCCGGAUUAGCUGAGAGGUGGUGCAUGGCGUAGUCGUGU